rnacentral:rRNA from 1 species
UACGUAGGGUGCAAGCGUUGUCCGGAAUCAUUGGGCGUAAAGCGCGCGUAGGUGGCUUCGUAAGUCCGUUGUGAAAGUCAAAGGCUCAACCUUUGAAUGCCGCUGGAUACUGCGAAGCUAGAGUACGGAAGAGGCGAGUGGAAUUCCUGGUGUAGCGGUGGAAUGCGCAGAUAUCAGGAGGAACACCAAUGGCGAAGGCAGAUCUCUGGGCCGUAACUGACGCUGAGGAGCGAAAGCAUGGGGAGCGAACAGG